UACGUAGGGUGCAAGCGUUAAUCGGAAUUACUGGGCGUAAAGCGUGCGCAGGCGGUUUUAUAAGUUUGUCGUGAAAGCCCCGGGCUCAACCUGGGAAUUGCGAUGAAGACUGUAAGGCUAGAGUGUGUCAGAGGGGGGUAGAAUUCCACGUGUAGCAGUGAAAUGCGUAGAUAUGUGGAGGAACACCGAUGGCGAAGGCAGCCCCCUGGGAUAACACUGACGCUCAUGCACGAAAGCGUGGGGAGCAAACAGG
rnacentral:rRNA from 1 species